ACUCUGGUGCCUGUUGGUAGAUUAUACAUAAAUGGGAGAAAAGUUUUAAAUCCUUUUUCGUUAGCACGGGAAUGUGCCUAAAAGCUUGUUUUGUGGUCUCAGAAUUUUGCAAAGGAAACGACAACAGUCCUGCCAGUAUGGACCUCUCCUGGUGGAUCAGGGGUAGGGAUGUAUACAGAGUACCAGUAUUGUUUGGUACCGGUCCAGAAUCUUAACGGUACUGGGGUGUCAUUAAGAUUCUGGACAAACAAUACUGUUAUUGGUACUUUUUGAACGUCUAACUGUCUGCCUAACUGAUGCGUAAUCAUAACACUACCGCAGUCGAUAGGUGAUGACGCAGCGCCUAGUUGACUGAUCAUUUCCACAGAAAGGUCUAAGCCAGGCAUCACCCCGGUCCAGGCACGGACCCAGUGACAUUUCUGGUCGAACCCAUUCAAAUUCUAAUAUUAAUAUAUGGGGGAACAAGCCCAGUUGUAUCAAUAAGACUGUUCUCCAGGGAUCAAAGCGCUCUGGUGGACUGGCCCUACCAAAUUUUCUCUUCUACUAUUGGGCUUGCAGCAUACAGAAGCUAAUGUACUGGUUCAAAGAUAAACAAAUUGCACGAAAGGCAGAAUGGGUGUGAUUAGAGUUGUCUUCGUGUCAACAUUUUUUAAAUUCAGUAAUUUGUUUGGCCUUACCCUUUAUUUACAGUAACUUGAGCUCAAACACAAUAGUCAUAGUCAAAAGUCAAAAGACAUUUUGGAUUGCAAGGGCCUUCAAUCCUCUCUCUCAUUAAAUCAAAUCACAUGUUCAUUCCUUCUUGUACAGACCCUGCAUUCAACCUAUGGCUUGAAAAUGGGAUUAGAACAAUCCGUGACUUACGCAUAGAAGAGGUAUUUGCAUCCUUUUCACAGAAAAUGUUUGAAAAUUGAAUAAAACAUAUUUACAAAAAAACAAAAACAAACAUACAUAACAUUAACCCUUUAAGACCUGAACAUCCAUGUGCACAUAAAAAGAAGCUUGCAGUAUUUGAAUUACCAUAACUCACUGAUGAAAUUCAAAGUGUGGCUGAACACUUUGAAGUUGCGCUUUCUGGAAAAAAAAAAAAGAGCUGCCAUUGUGGUAAUGAUAACGCACCACUGCUGUCGGUUCCAGGUUGAGGACCGAAGCAUGAUCACGGAGCCCCAGGAAGAGAGUUUUUUUUGGAGGAAUUUGUUAGUAAAAACAAAGUUUUUAGUUAUACCCCUGAGAUGUCAUGAAGGUCUUCCAGACAAAAGCACAACUUCCCAGUGUUCAACCACACUUUGAAUAUUGUCAAUAGCGCAAACAACUGUGAGGUACGGUAAGUCAAAAUCGGCGUACUUUGACAGAUCCUUCAGGCUUUAAAUGGUUAAUAAAAACGUAAGUCCUGUGUUUUUUUGCUUUAGCUCUAUUGCAGCCGACCGCACAGCAGAUAGACAGCAUAUCGACAGCGUACUUCCUGUAUCUGACGUCAUAAAGAUGGCGCCGUUGAGACGGUGUGACGUCACUGUGAAACCCAUGAAUAACGUGAAAUCAAGUAGUUCUCGGAGGAUAUGCACAUCAGAGACAUAUUAAUGCACAAUUAACACACACGUGUUUGUAAGCGUAUGUGGAUAUAAAAGCAUGCGCAAAGUGAUGAAGAAAAUGGUAUUAACAAUGGCAGCCUUGGCUUUGUUAGAAGAUCUCGCAAAUGGUAACAUUAGGCGCGAGAGAGUGUUUAGAAAACGCAAAGAUUUACUCGCAAACGACGACGAGUGGCUCAUGAGUCGUUUUCGUUUACCGAGGCCAGUAUUACUGGAACUGUGCACAGAGCUGCAGCCCAUCUGUGUCCACACAGGUGCUGACUACUCUGGGGUUCCUGGCAACAGGGGCUUUCCAACCUGAACUGGCUGACCGGUCAGGAGUGUGUCGAUCAACCCUGACCCGAGCCAUGCCAGCUGUGUGGGACGGUAUCAUCAAAAUGUCAUCCAGGGAACAUUUUCAUUCCAUAAAUGUUCAAAUAAUAUGUGAUGCGCAAAUGCAGCUCACUAACAUCGUGGAAAGGUGGCCUGGUUCAACGCAUGACUCGUUCAUUCUGACCAACAGCAUGGUUGGGAACAGGCUGGAGGCUGGCAUGGUGCAGGAUCGAUGGCUUCUCGGGGACAUUGGCUACCCCCUGAGAAGGUGGCUGUUGAUCCCUCUCACCAACCCUGGCACCGAUCAAGAGAGGGGAUACAAUGACCUCCAGUCCUGAACUCGGGCAGUGGUGGAGAGGGCAAUCUGCCCGCUGAAGAGACCCUGGCGCUGC